UAGAUACCCUGUUAUUCCACAGCUUAAAUCCGUCACAAUACUGCCUGGGGACUACGAGGAGACCUUAAAACCCGAGGGGCUUGGCGGUGCACUAUACUUACCAGGGGAACCUGGCCCUUAAUUCGAUAGUCCACGAACAUCUUACCUUUCCUUGUUUAAACAUGCCCCUAGGGGGCAUGUUUCUAUCAGUUUGCAUACCGCCGUUUUCAGCCUGUGUCGUGAGAUAAAAGAAAUAGGCUAUCCAGCAUUGUGAGCGUGGCCACCUUAAGGCGACCUCAUUGCUAAGAAUUCAGGUAAACGUGUAGCCAAUGGAAAGGGGGUGCUGGGUUACAAUUGAAGCUUGAAAUGGAAGGUGGCCUGAAUGGGCCAUCCGAAAGAGUACUUGGAAGUAAUGGCUUUGGGCAAUG
rnacentral:rRNA from 1 species